AGUGAACGCUGGCGGUAGGCCUAACACAUGCAAGUCGAACGGCAGCACAGUAAGAGCUUGCUCUUACGGGUGGCGAGUGGCGGACGGGUGAGGAAUACAUCGGAAUCUACCUUUUCGUGGGGGAUAACGUAGGGAAACUUACGCUAAUACCGCAUACGACCUACGGGUGAAAGCAGGGGAUCUUCGGACCUUGCGCGAUUGAAUGAGCCGAUGUCGGAUUAGCUAGUUGGCGGGGUAAAGGCCCACCAAGGCGACGAUCCGUAGCUGGUCUGAGAGGAUGAUCAGCCACACUGGAACUGAGACACGGUCCAGACUCCUACGGGAGGCAGCAGUGGGGAAUAUUGGACAAUGGGCGCAAGCCUGAUCCAGCCAUACCGCGUGGGUGAAGAAGGCCUUCGGGUUGUAAAGACCUUUUGUUGGGAAAGAAAAGCAGCAGGUUAAUACCCCGCUGUUCUGACGGUACCCAAAGAAUAAGCACCGGCUAACUUCGUG
rnacentral:rRNA from 1 species